ensembl:lncRNA
CUGGGACUCAGUGAUAACAAACCGAAAUCCCCUGGAGCUCACACAUGUCUCUGAACCAAAAUCCUUGCCAAAGCAGGGAUUCUAGAGGUCCCUGUGCAUAGCAAAGGAAGGUUCUCAGGGCUGUAUCAGCAUUAACUCAUGAAUGUGCCAAGGCCGCACUCAGGAAACUGGUAACCUGAGGAUCACUUUAUACCUUGCCUACUCCUGGGCGCAGGGGAUUCCAGUGAUUCAUGGUGCCAAGCUAAUCCCUGAGGCUGCAGGUCACAAACAUCAGACAGUGUUCCCUGAAGUCCUGCUUACACAGCAGCCCACUGUACAAACUGCAGCCUUGGAGAGAUUUGGGAUGAGAAGGGAAGAGUUUUGGUUAUCUGUAAGCAUGAGGGUUUGUCUGUUUCAAGGAGUAAAGACCCAUUCAAGUUAGCUCAGGAAAAAGGAUUUUUUUUUUCUGAGUUUCUAUGUAUAAGAUUAAGAGACUCAAGGAAACCUGGGAACUGGAACCAUACCGAG